GACGAACGCUGGCGGCGUGCCUAAUACAUGCAAGUCGAGCGGACGAAUCGAAAGCUUGCUUUUGAUUCGUUAGCGGCGGACGGGUGAGUAACACGUGGGCAACCUGCCCUGUAGACGGGGAUAACACCGAGAAAUCGGUGCUAAUACCGGAUAACACGAAAUGUCGCAUGACGUUUCGUUGAAAGACGGCGCAAGCUGCCGCUACAGGAUGGGCCCGCGGCGCAUUAGCUAGUUGGUGAGGUAACGGCUCACCAAGGCGACGAUACGUAGCCGACCUGAGGGGGUGAUCGGCCACACUGGGACUGAGACACGGCCCAGACUCCUACGGGAGGCAGCAGUAGGGAAUCUUCCGCAAUGGACGAAAGUCUGACGGAGCAACGCUGCGUGAGCGAAGAAGGCCUUCGGGUCGUAAAGCUCUGUUGUUAGGGAAGAACAAGUAACGCAGUAACUGGCGUUACCGUGACGGUACCUAACGAGAAAGCCACGGCUAACUACGUG
rnacentral:rRNA from 1 species